UACAGAGGCCUCGAGCGUUAGGCGGAAUCACUGGGCUUAAAGCGUGUGUAGGCGGACUUCUAAGUACCUUGUGAAAUCCCACGGCUUACCCGUGGAACUGCUCGGUAUACUGGUUGUCUUGAGCUUUCUAGGGGCGAGCGGAACAAAUGGUGGAGCGGUGAAAUGCGUAGAUAUCGUUUGGAACGCCAAUGGUGAAAACAACUUGCUGGGGGUGUGCUGACGCUGAGACACGAAAGCCGGGGGAGCAAACGGG
rnacentral:rRNA from 1 species